rnacentral:miRNA from 1 species
AUGAGAGAGAGAAUGGAAGUGAGGAUGAGAUUGAGAGAGAUGAUGGGAGGGAGGAAGGAGUAAUAAAAGUGAAAGCAAUUUCAAAUAUAUUUCAGUUUUUAAAUUUUGUUUUCACUUUUGCUACUCAUCUAUCUCAUCUUCCAUCUCAAUCUCAUGUCCACUCUCAUUCUCACUUCCAUUCUCCUUCUUUUU